rnacentral:rRNA from 1 species
UACAGAGGGUGCGAGCGUUAAUCGGAAUUACUGGGCGUAAAGCGCACGUAGGUGGCGACGUAAGUCUGAUGUGAAAGCCCUGGGCUCAACCUGGGAAUGGCAUUGGAAACUGGCAACCUAGAGUGCGGUAGAGGGUAGUGGAAUUCCCGGUGUAGCAGUGAAAUGCGUAGAGAUCGGGAGGAACAUCUGUGGCGAAGGCGACUGCCUGGACCAGCACUGACACUGAGGCACGAAAGCGUGGGGAGCAAACAGG